rnacentral:rRNA from 1 species
GAUGAACGCUGGCGGCGUGCCUAAUACAUGCAAGUCGAGCGAACAGACGAGGAGCUUGCUCCUCUGACGUUAGCGGCGGACGGGUGAGUAACACGUGGAUAACCUACCUAUAAGACUGGGAUAACUUCGGGAAACCGGAGCUAAUACCGGAUAAUAUAUUGAACCGCAUGGUUCAAUAGUGAAAGACGGUUUUGCUGUCACUUAUAGAUGGAUCCGCGCCGCAUUAGCUAGUUGGUAAGGUAACGGCUUACCAAGGCAACGAUGCGUAGCCGACCUGAGAGGGUGAUCGGCCACCCUGGAACUGAGACACGGUCCAGCCUCCUACGGGAGGCAGCAGUAGGGAAUCUUCCGCAAUGGGCGAAAGCCUGACGGAGCAACGCCGCGUGAGUGAUGAAGGUCUUCGGAUCGUAAAACUCUGUUAUUAGGGAAGAACAAAUGUGUAAGUAACUAUGCACGUCUUGACGGUACCUAAUCAGAAAGCCACGGCUAACUACGUG